GCCAGUGUGGUGUAGUGGUUUGAACAUUGGACUAUGACUCUGGAGACCAGGGUUCAAUUUCCUGCUCAGUCA